rnacentral:misc_RNA from 1 species
GGCGGAGCCGGGAAUACAACAGCCUACCGACGCCGAGACGGAGCACGACGUCCGGUUCAAGGUCUGCUGCUCGUCAGAGCACGGGCAUGGCAGCGGCUCUAGCUUCAGCAUCAACAUCGAAGAAGAGUUAAACGUCGACGACUAUGACAUAGACAUCAUGGAGAUGAUGCCAGACGAGCCGGACCACCCGGAAGCGACGCCAGCCAGCUUGAUCCAGCAGCAAGAAGCAGAUGUGCAACAGCACGGGCACGAGCACGGCAUUGGCUUCCACUUUGAGGGAAUGCAGCAGCCAACUAAUGUCGCCGAGCCGGAGCACGACGACGGCCGAUCCAUCCAUCCUACGUCUGGUGAUCCGUUGUUGGUUGCCCAAGUCAGCUUCGACUUCGAGGGAAUGCAGCAGCCAACUACAGUCGUCGAGUCGGAGCACGACGACGGCCGAUCCAUCCAUCCUACGUCUGGUGAUCCGUUGUUGGCUGCCCAAGUCAGCCUCGACUUCGA